AGUGAACGCUGGCGGUAGGCCUAACACAUGCAAGUCGAACGGCAGCACAGUAAGAGCUUGCUCUUACGGGUGGCGAGUGGCGGACGGGUGAGGAAUACAUCGGAAUCUACUUUUUCGUGGGGGAUAACAUAGGGAAACUUACGCUAAUACCGCAUACGACCUACGGGUGAAAGCAGGGGAUCUUCGGACCUUGCGCGAUUGAAUGAGCCGAUGUCGGAUUAGCUAGUUGGCGAGGUAAAGGCCCACCAAGGCGACGAUCCGUAGCUGGUCUGAGAGGAUGAUCAGCCACACUGGAACUGAGACACGGUCCAGACUCCUACGGGAGGCAGCAGUGGGGAAUAUUGGACAAUGGGCGCAAGCCUGAUCCAGCCAUACCGCGUGGGUGAAGAAGGCCUUCGGGUUGUAAAGCCCUUUUGUUGGGAAAGAAAAGCAGCAGGUUAAUACCCCGCUGUUCUGACGGUACCCAAAGAAUAAGCACCGGCUAGCUUCGUG
rnacentral:rRNA from 1 species